rnacentral:rRNA from 1 species
GAUGAACGCUGGCGGCGUGCCUAAUACAUGCAAGUCGAGCGAACGGACGAGAAGCUUGCUUCUCUGAUGUUAGCGGCGGACGGGUGAGUAACACGUGGAUAACCUACCUAUAAGACUGGGAUAACUUCGGGAAACCGGAGCUAAUACCGGAUAAUAUUUUGAACCGCAUGGUUCAAAAGUGAAAGACGGUCUUGCUGUCACCUAUAGAUGGAUCCGCGCUGCAUUAGCUAGUUGGUAAGGUAACGGCUUACCAAGGCAACGAUGCAUAGCCGACCUGAGAGGGUGAUCGGCCACACUGGAACUGAGACACGGUCCAGACUCCUACGGGAGGCAGCAAUAGGGAAUCUUCCGCAAUGGGCGAAAGCCUGACGGAGCAACGCCGCGUGAGUGAUGAAGGUCUUCGGAUCGUAAAACUCUGUUAUUAGGGAAGAACAUAUGUGUAAGUAACUGUGCACAUCUUGACGGUACCUAAUCAGAAAGCCACGGCUAACUACGUG